UUUUUUUUUUUUUGGUGGAGAGGGGCCACUGUGCCAGCAGCCGCGGUAAUUCCAGCUCCAAUAGCGUAUAUUAAAGUUGUUGCAGUUAAAAAGCUCGUAGUUGAAUUUCGGGAUUGACACAUCGGUCGUGCCUUAAGGGGUAUGAACUGGUGUAGUCAAUUUCUCACCUUCUGGAGAACCGCGAUGCCCUUAAUUGGGUGUCACGGGGAACCAGGACCUUUACUUUGAAAAAAUUAGAGUGUUUAAAGCAGGCAUUUUGCUUGAAUACAUUAGCAUGGAAUAAUAAAAUAGGACGGCAUGAUUCUAUUUUGUUGGUUUCUAGGAUCACCGUAAUGAUUAAUAGGGAUAGUUGGGGGCAUUAGUAUUCAAUUGUCAGAGGUGAAAUUCUUGGAUUUAUUGAAGACUAACUACUGCGAAAGCAUUUGCCAAGGAUGUUUUCAUUAAUCAAGAACGAAAGUUAGGGGAUCGAAGACGAUCAGAUACCGUCGUAGUCUUAACCAUAAACUAUGCCGACUAGGAAUCAGACGAGUUAUA
rnacentral:rRNA from 1 species